CCUACGGGUGGCAGCAGUGAGGAAUAUUGGUCAAUGGGCGAGAGCCUGAACCAGCCAAGUCGCGUGAAGGAUGACGGCCCUACGGGUUGUAAACUUCUUUUGUCAGGGAGCAAUUGGGUCCACGCGUGGGCUUAGCGAGAGUACCUGAGGAAAAAGCAUCGGCUAACUCCGUGCCAGCAGCGGCGGUAAUACGGGGGAGGCGAGCGUUAACCGGAUUUAUUGGGUUAAAGGGGUGCGUAGGCGGAAUAUCAAGUCAGCGGUAAAAAUUCGGGGCGCAACCCCGUCGUGCCGUUGAAACUGACGGUCUUGAGUGGGCUAGAGGUAUGCGGAAUGCGUGGUGUAGCGGUGAAAUGCAUAGAUAUCACGAAGAACUCCGAUUGCGAAGGCAGCAUACCGGCGCCCAACUGACGCUGAAGCACGAAAGCGUGGGUAUCGAACAGGAUUAGAUACCCUUGUAGUC
rnacentral:rRNA from 1 species